CCUGUAUUGAAUGGAAGUGACAUCAUAUUGUUGUUUUUAUUUAUUAAUAGAAUGUAUAAACUCCACACUCCAUACCAGUAGGUGGCGGUAAAGCGCCAAGUUGUUAACCGCAGUAGAAGAAGAAAAAGAAAAGAAGACAGCAAAGCAGUGAUGACAUAGGAGGGAAGAAGAAUGAGUGAUGAGAGGAGAGAAGACAAGACAAGACAAGGGCACCUGCAGCAGAAGCUUUUGUUCCUCCACCAGCAUUGACGACUGAAUUGCACCUGUGACAAAUGAGUGAGCAGUGAUGUGAAGUUGCAUUCCAAACUAAAGGAAAAAAAAAACUGUGACCAACUAAUGAGUGAGCAGUGAUGUGAAGUUGCAUCCCAGACUACCUGUGACCAAGUAGACUGAACCUGAAAGCCUUUUGUAUGUAUUUAUUGUACAGUGAUUUCUGUUUUUGUCAUCCCUUGACACCAGUGUUAUGAAGUGAACAAAUAAAGAUUGAUUGCAAUUA